rnacentral:rRNA from 1 species
UACGUAGGGGGCGAGCGUUGUCCGGAGUUACUGGGCGUAAAGGGCGCGCAGGCGGUCUGGUAAGUUUGGAGUGACAGUGCUCGGCUUAACUGAGCAAGGCCUUCGAAAACUGCUAGACUUGAGCACUCAAGAGGGACAUAGAAUUCCGGGUGGAGUGGUGAAAUGCGUAGAUAUCGGGAGGAACACCAGUGGCGAAGGCGGCUUCCUGGACCUGUUCUGACACUGAGGAGCGAAAGCGUGGGGAGCGAUCCGG